UACUAAACUCCACCCUCUAACACUAUUUUAAAUAAAACACUUAAACAUCUACUCCUACUAACUCACUAAAUUAAAGUACCAAAAAGGAAACAACAAUAACAUAAAGUAGUGAUAAUUCACGUACCUUGUGCAUUAUGGUUUUACAAGCUAUAAAUUUAUAAUACUCUCCCGAAUUCUAUACGAGCUGUCUACAUAUAGCUUAGAGCCCACUACUAGUUGUAGCAACAACUUUAGAAAAUAUGUUUACAGAGGCUACAUACCACCCGCGUUAGAAAAUUGCUGGUUUUCAGUAAAAUUUAUUAAUUAAAACAUGUAAUAAUAACUACAAUGUAAGACUUCAGAGGACAAGCCCUGUAGUCUAAAGCUAAUAUACAUUCUACAAAAUAAUUAGGCCUAAAAACAGCCAUCUAUAUUACCUUACCGUAAUAUUUAUUAAAUAUUUAAAAUCACAUGCGCUCAAAACCUGAAAUUUAAGACAAACUUCAAAUAUUAAAAUAUUAUGUAAAAAUAAGUAUUAAAUACAAAUAAUCACGACAUUAAAUCCCUUUAUUAAUAAACCAAAUAAAAGCUUAUAAAGGAACUCGGCAAAUUCUUAUUU
rnacentral:rRNA from 1 species